ensembl:lncRNA
CUUAAACUAGAGCAGUAGUUAGUAUGACAAUGGAAUAGAAAUGAACAUUCACUCCAGUGGCUGCGGAUGGCACAGGGAUUAGAUAAUAGGACAAGGGAGAAGAAAAAUAAUGAAUCUGUCUGUUGACCCAUCAGCAUAAAUAUCUUGUCAGUCACACGUGACAGCAGCUCUAUCUGGAUGGCAGAAGCUGUGCUCGCCCAGGCUCCCGGUGAUGUUCCUUAAAUCCAAAGUUUCGUCAGGUCGUUUAGCAGGCUGAAGAUAGUUGGCACUUGACCACAUAGCGUGCCCAAGAUGGAUGAGCAAUAAGUGCUUACUUCGAGCGUCCAGGGACACAAAGCAAUGGUGCUGAGAGCAGUGGGUACCUGAUUCCUUUCUCCUGCUCAGGUGCCUGUGGUGGCCGUGUCUCCUGCAGCCCUGGGCUGACAUGAAGAAGUGCAGGGGCCAUUAUUAGGCUGAGCAGCUGUGCAAAAUCCUGUCUGGAAGUCUGCUGCUGAUGGAACCCCACCUCAUCCCAGGCUGAUGAAGUGGGGUAACCACUGAAGUGUCCCUAGGUGACUUAAAUCACCUGUGGAAGAGAACGCGCCUAUGGGAAGAUCCGUCCCAGCCUGCAAAGACCCACUGCAUCCUGUCGUGAUGGCGGAGUUAAGCAGAAGGGUGAGGUGGGCUUACUGUCUUGUUUAAAAGCCUGGAGUGAAGAACGAGGUCAUUGCAUGUGGUUCAUGUAAGCACAAACACAGACUCAGAGUGAGAAACCUUCUCAGGGCUUAGGAUGGGAUUUGUCUCACCUCACUUCAGCUAUGUGACAGGUGCUCUUAAUGAAGGUGUUAUGAUGAUGCUCACCUGAGGCCAGGCUGCCCUGCUGGAAGCUGUUGACCUAUCCAGAUGCUUGUGACGGGCUCCUCGUGCUCUGCCAUAGCUGAUCUGAGAUCUGCCAUCAUCCAGCUUUAAGGAAGAGCUGGAACUCACUCUGCUGAGCUCAGUCAUCUCUCCCAUAUUCCACGCUCAGGAGACACAGCUGAGGGCCUGGUGAGAAAACCGUGCUGGUCCUGAGCGGUGCAGGCACACCCAGCAUGGAGCACACCACUCUUCCUACCCGUCCAUCAGAUGGGACCGGCCUCCCCAGAGACUGGCGGCGAGCCUGGCUCCCUGUGCAGGGACACCUCUGGGACGUGGUUCCUCCAUCCCAAAAGAACAGCAGUGGACAAACCCCUCUGUCAGUGCUGGUCUCUGGCGGAGUCCAGGGCCACGCUGGUGGCUGGCGUUGGCCUGGUUGAAAGGAGCCAUCUUCUCACGGCCCACAGACUGCAAUAUGCCAAAGGGACAGCUUGACUCCUCCAGCCAGAAAACAAUUCCCCAAAAUGCUACACAGCAGACACUUGAGAUAUGCGGUGAGGAAGAAAUGGCCCAGUUAUCUUCAUCCUGUUAGCUCUGUUCCUGCCACACUGCGUCCAGUGACACUCGAAGAUAAAGAGCGAGUACCUUAUUAUCACCAUCAUGUCUGCCCUUGAGGUUUCAUUCUUUCACACCCUCCUGUCUUUGUUUCUUUCCCCCUUCCCUGAUUUUUUUCUGUGUUGUCUCCCUACUUCCUACCAUGCAAUUCCCACUUCCCAUAUGGGUCUCAUUCCUACUCUGUCCCCAUCCUGUCUGCUAAAAUAAUCAGCAGCGAGACCCUGAAAAUGGCCGUUCACAUUGUUUCCGUGGAACUGGGUGGCAAGGCUCCUGGUGCGAUGAAUGAAGGCAGGACGCGCUUCUCAGAGCCAUUGUUCCAAGCUGUCUGCCGACUCAGGAAAGCACAGCCUGCUUGGUUUACACUGAGGCCUUCGCUGGUGGGUUCUCUCCUCUGGCUGCUGUGAAUCAGGCCCUUAUAUUUUAAACAGUCACCACUGCGUUUGUGAGGUGCGUGCUUAGCAACUAGCUCUGGGGUCAGAGCAGAUCCAUGGGAAGGAUGUUGGAUGAGAGCAUCGUGAUGUGGCCCUUUGUGAGCAGCCAUAAACUCGCUUUAUUUACCCCGUGAUGAGGUUGCAAAGAGCAGGAACCUGGUUAGCACAGCAAUGACUGUGGGAUAGGAUUGCCAAACCAUCGCGGAGGCUCUCCUCCUCUCAAGCAGCCCUGAUGUCAUGGCUAUCCCAUUUACACAGUUUUCAGUCAGCCAAAAACACAGAAAGAGACUGCUCGCAUAUCUCUCGCAGAGAGCUGCAUAAACACCUUCUGACUCAGAAUAACAACACGAAAACAUGCUGCAACUAGCACACAUGGUACCUCUCCAUCUGUGCUUGUCACCGGGAACUUUUUACUCCAUGCCCUAGGGGCACUUCCAGGGAGGUACAAACCAUGGCAGAUGACCCAGAAAGAUAUUAUCAGGAUCUGCACGUAAUAAAAUAGUCUCUUCUUGAACAUUUCAGAUUGUUUAAAUAGAUUCCAGACUCCCAGCAUAAAGAAACCGAGGGGACCUUGCCCAAUAUCUGAAUAGCUUCGCUGUACAGUUUACAAACAUGAUUCACCAAAAGAGCACUAAGUGGGGUUUGAAUAUUGGUGUAACAAAAAUGAUCAUGAGCUGAGACAUCCCAUCUGCUGAGGAAAUUGUCGAGCUUGCUGGUAAUUGAAAAUCCAAGGCAGCGUCAUCUAUUUCAGUAAAAACAUCUUCCCAUAUUGGAGAACAGCUUCCCAUCCAUGUCCUGUCCCAGUUUUACAGGGAAUUUAUUCUGUCUGCUACUACUGUUCCCCUUUUGACCUGAGCAAUGGAUCAGCAUUCUUCUGUGCAGUUUGUAUACUCCCAAAGUGUGUACAUAGAGGCCCUGCUAUAACAAAGCCUGGAGGGUCUCAACCUCCUACCCUAAACAAGAGUUUCCCUGAACACAGUGGAGUGUGACACAACUUCUUGUAAGUGCCAGCCCUUUCUGAACCACAAAAGGGCCUGCACAACUUUCCUGCUCCCCUUCAGCAGGAAUCAGCCUGCAAGGACCUAUCUGUGGGGACGCAGAACAGGUUUCAUUCAGUCAGCCCACGCGGAAGGCAGCUCUCACGUCCAAAGACCUCUAGGCCACUCAGCAGGCUGCUGAACUCAAGUUGCUCAGGGUAGAUCGGUCUUUAACCACUGCCCCAUCUGACUUCCUUGCCCCAGUUGUAAUUCCGUGGUCGUUCCUACGCUGCUGACAAGUUUCAGCAAAUCGAUUCUUUUGCUGAGGCAGAAUUUAUUGGUAAUUACUGUUUUGAUUUGAUUUGCCCAACAGCUGGAGAAAGAGGCACAACCUCGAAGCACGUAUGUGACACUGUGGGUGGGGAAGAAGAAAUUCUUCCACAGCAUUUGUACAUGAUAAAUAUGGCAGCCAAAAGGCAAGUUCCCAAAUGCCUAGGGUCCACAUGUGCUAUGGAAGCAGCGUAGCAUCUUGGCAUGGAAAAGCAAUACUGGACAAAGGAGCCCAAAGUCUCUGCAGGUCACAGUGUCCCCAGUGGAGAUGAAAGCCCUGGGCUGCGAAGUGGUACCUAUCAGCUGCAUCUGCCACAGGACAGUGUGUUUUGCUUUGAAAGCGACCCCCCUCAAGGAAACAUGUGCUGGGUAUACAAAUGCAGCGUUUCGUUUAUUUAAGGCACAACUGCAAAACCAAACAGUUCUCAGUCACAGAUGUCUUUAACGAAAAACAGCUAUCGGAAUGCUCCUCGUACCGUAAGCAAUGAGUCCUCUCUGUCACGCUCGUAGGAGACGUAACAGUUUUGACGGAUCAACCUAUUAAUCACUUGGCCUCCUAAUGGUUCAUCUGAAGGCGGUCCUUACGAAUGUGCUAGCAUGUUGUGCCAACAGCUCGCCAAGUGAUACACGCACAGAUGUCCCAUGUUCUGCUCCUCCGAGGUCCUGCAAUGACAGGCUCUCCUCUGAGAUACUAACGAAGACUUCAUUCAUCCCACCCUGCUUCCGCUCGUUCGGUCUUUAGUCACUUACCAACUUGUUCCUGUGGCUGCAAAACAUUCACAGCACUAAGAAGAUGUCAGUUCCUGACCCCAUACUACGGCCCCGGCAGCCCGGAUGACUGGCUGGGGUGACGCAUCUCCCCAAGGUGCUGUCAGUGGGAGAUGUUCACGUACACUUCUGUGACAAGCCGUAAGGUUUGCUUGUGUUCACUGGCUCCCCUCAUCGCUUGGAGGAAAUCUGCCUGUGCUCUGCAGCUCCAGCCCUGAGAGCCUUCGUGCUAAGGCUUAAAACUGGUGUGCAAUGAGACCGACAAAGGCACCUGGCUUUUCUUUUUGAAUUCUUUUCUUAAAAAAAACAAACCCAAAAGCUCAGCCAAAAGCAUGCACAGCACUAAACUGCAACAUGUAAACUCAUUACUUCUCUAUAUUUUUGGAAAUUCUUUCAGGCUUAAUCAUUGCCAUUGUCAUUGGAGAGCCAGGAAAGACAGCUACAUCUGGAUUUUCCUCUCCGUAAACUUCAGCUUCAGGAGUAAACACGUGUUUUAUGACGGGGACUGGCACACGACAUGGAGUUGCAGCCAAGGGAAGCUUUAGUUCUGCCCACCUGUUCCUGCAAUGCGGACCCCAGUGCACAGCUCCUCUCUCCCUCCCCCUACUAUGUUUCAACCAAAGAGACAACAUCUAACCUUACUGCAACCCUGUCACAUGCUCUAUACACGUUCCCUGGGGUCUCUGUCCCAAAGCAACAGAAGCACUUGUGCCCAUCAGUGUCACCAGGAAAGCUCUGUGCCUGCCCUUGAGAAAGCUGAGACUCACCGUCCGCAAGUAUGGAUGUGUGUGUGUGUUGGUGUGCCAACAGAUAGGAACUGAUUUAUGGAAGAGAAACAGGAAGGAUGAUGGGAGAACAUCUGUAAAACUCCAAGGUUUGGUACAUAGCACUGCUGCUUGGCCUGCUUGUUGUCAAAGGUGAAAGUUUAAGAAUGAAGCAUCCUCGCCCCCCUGUGCUGCAUGAGAAAAGCCAGUGUCACAGGCCUGCAGAAGGCAGUUGUUUGUGUGCAAGGUUCCUGUUUGUUACUCAUUUCCCCUCCCUGUCCCAACACUCUGACUCUUUAAAGCUCUUCCAAGAUUCCUUAUAGGAGGUUUGUUGCCAGCUCAGAGUUUCCUGUUGUACUCAAAGACUCUUAUCUCUGCAAUCUUCAUGCACAUAGCAAGGAGAUUUGUUUUUAUUCAUUUAUUUAUUUUACAACCCAGACCAUUUCUGUGGACUAGCUGGUUUCUCUGUUGCUGACUUAGGUGGUGCAUUUUCUUGGAAAAUUCAACUCCAAUGCUAAAAAAAGAUAUUUUUGCUUUGUCUGUCCCGCGGCGUGAGGAUCCCCGUGUCACAAGGGUGUGCUGGAGCUUCUCCAGCUGCAGCCCAGGCAGCUGGCAGCAGUGGGGUCAGAGUGCUGGCUGUGGCUGCCAGCACGACUCUUGGCCAGAAGUCACCUUGAAUAACAGCACAGGGUCCCUGGCUCAGCCUUUAGGUGCUAAACGUAGAGUGAAGCAAGUGGUAACACUAGGAAACCUGGGUUUGGGUCCUACAAAAUGUCACACAGAUUUUGGCAUCUGCUAGCCAUCAAUCCUUUAGAGCAUCUGGACUGUAAAACAGUGGCCACUGUAUAAAGGGCCCAGCAGCAGACCUGGUUCUGAGGAACAAGCUGCUCGGGGUCCAGCAGUCCCAAACCUUGGCUCUGCCCUGUGACCAUGCCCCUGUGGCCAUCAGAUCUCUUUCACAGUGCAGGACAAAGGCUUGCAUCCGGCUGCUAUAUAAGCACUUGUGGCGAUGAAUAAAUAGUUGGGGACCUUCCCAGACACUUGGUCCAGAUUAGGAAAGGAUUUAUCAGCUAGAUUGUUUUAAAUAAGAAGAGCAGGUGAAGGCCUAACAUCCUGGGCCAUUUCUUCCUGCAGGCUGAUUCAGGCUGAGCUGGCCUUGCUCUCCACAUGAAUCAUUCCCUCGUGUUGUCCUUAUGUCUAGGAACAGGCAGGGCUGCCCCAGGGGCUGCACUCUGGGGAAAAGCUGCAGCUGCCCUGUGCUGCCAAGGGGGAUGUUUCUUCUCCCUUCCGUUCUUCCAGGGAAACUGGCAGAGGAUAAACCCCAGUGCACACCCAGAUGGUGAACGAGUGAUGACAACAGCACAAUGUUGUGCCAUCUUCUCAAGUGAGUUCUCAAAGCAAGAGAGCGCCAUGUAGCAGAGAAGCCCGAUCCAUCCUCCCUGCCUAUGGCAGCCACAGAGCAGCCCAGGGGGUGCCCGGCGCUGCCAGGACUUCCUUUGCCAGGGCUUCACAGGCAAACAUUAGCUUUAAGUGGCCAAUCCUUCCCUAAGGCAGCUGGCCAUUUUACAUCACAGCAAGACACUGUGGGCUCCUGGAUGGCACCGACCUCAUAACACAGCUUCACAUGCAGUGGGGAUCCAUUUUCCCAACAGACCCAUGAAUAUGGCAGAGGCAAAUUUUACCUUUCAUUUCUGAAUAGUUUUACUUUUCUAAUGAGGUUGUUUCAGUUGCCCUCACAAGAGACCUGUCAAGCCAAAUCUGGGCAGCCUGCGACUGCGGCAGUGUCAGAUGGAGAAGGAGCAGGUGGCCAUGCCCCUAAGCUCUUUUCUUCCCACAGUGUCAUCCUUGGAGAAUGGUUAGCAAUGCAGCAACCUUGCUUUUGGCAUCAGAAGGUGAUUUACUCACAAAUUAUUGAAAACUCAAGAUUAUUCCCAUUUCCCACACAGCAGCAAAUAAUAAACUAUUAAUAUUAUCCUGACCUGAAGACCUGUGUGGCUUGCCAAAGAUAAUUAUUCAGCUACUCUGAGCAGACCCCAUUAGGCAGCCUUUUGUGGCAUUCAUUUACUCCUGAGCCCCCAAAGACUCAUUAUGUGUGGUCUUGGGGAAGAUCUAGAAAACUCCUCAUCCCCACUGAGAGCACAUGACUGCAUUUUGUGGUGCCACGCCAGUUCUUCAGAGCACAAACACGGCUCAUCCACCAGAGCCCUCUGGCUUCAGUGCUGGAGCCAUUCCUCAGGGUCCUGCUGGAGAUGCUCCUUGGGGUGCUGCUAUCCUGGCUGCUCUGGGGGGAUGCACUUCAGGCACUUUAUUUGUCUACUGCCAUCCCUUCAUCUGAGGCAGUUUUCACUACUAGCAGCCAUCUCAUGCUGCCACUGUGCCAGCAUUACAAAUUUGCCAUGACUCCAUGCUAUUUCCCCAAGCACUGACAGUGGCGAAAGUAGGAGAGCAACGGACUUCUAGUCUUCCACUUCUGACCAGCAGCAAUACUUAGAUAACAAUCCUCGAUUCCACGUGUUCAUUUUGGUUCUGUGAUUUCGAGGCCAGGUCAGAGUGCAGGGGGAGAAGUGCCAGACAGUGUUUUAAACCAGUUAGCAAUGGUGUGAGGUGACACUGAAAAGUUCCUAAGUAACCGAAAGGUCUAAGUCUCCUUCUCAAAUGCUCUUCAGACAUUCAAAAACUGAAGUCAGGGGGACGGUGCUCUUGAAUGCCUAAAUCACUUGAACUGUGGACAGCAGCUCUUAAGUCCAGUCUGAUGCCUUACUCAAUUUCAGCCACUUAUAAAUGAGCCUUUUUCCUGGCUUUCCUCAGUGCCAACCGUGUGCAAGUGUUGGCAAGAUCUGCGUUAGCUUGUCUGGAGUCUGAACCACUUUGCUGAAUGCUUAAUCAAGCUGCUCGCCCCUCUCUCCCAACAGAGGCCAUUUAUACAGCGAGGGAAUCAGCUGGUCGAUGAAGCAGACAAGAGGAGUGAGGGAGAGGGAGCGAGCUCUUUGAAUGGGAUGAGAACAGAGCCACCGGCACCUCAAGAAAGUUUAUCUGCCUCCAGUGCCAAGCGCACACAGCGCUAAUCUUUUGUUGCCAUGAAUAUUCAAGCCCAGCUGCCAGCAACAGAGGGAGCAGCUGCAGUGGCAGAGCUGGCGGGUCCCCUCGUGGUGCCCUCGCUUGCCGACCCUGGCAUCUGGGGCUGCCUGGGGGUGGGGAGGGGGAGAUGCUGCCUGCGUGGCAGGCCAGAGCCAUUCAGCAGCUUGGCCCCACGCUCCCCGAGCAGCACGAAGCCAGAGAGACAAAUCGCCCAGCGCUGUGCUCCUUCACUGACCUGAGUGUGCCAGGUGCUCCAGAUGUUUGAGGUCAUUUGAAGACCUGCAGGGAAAGGACAAGGAAGAACAACAGCCGGGCAAUUUAAGUUUGAAGAACCCUUGCUGCUGCUGAGAGAAGCCAAAGUGAGGGAAGAGCCCGUGGGCCCCAUGAAAAGCUAGAUACAUGCAGCUGGAUGCAGAUCGCAGUUCUCAUGGUGUAUUUGGUGAUGGGAUGUAUUUGGCAGCAAGUAUGGCAGGCUGGGGACAUGCAAAAUCUGGCAGCAGGGGCUGCAGACAGGCUGGCAGGUGACCAUGCUGCUGCAGUGUCAUGGAAGAGCUGGAGGGCUUCUGGCACUCGAGGAGUCAGGAUGCAGUGAACAGAGGCCACGAGCUCUCCUUGGAUGGUCAACAUGCUCUUCUCUACAGCCUAUAGCAGCUAGAGCACUAUAACACAGACAGCUCUGCCUCCCGUGACACACUGGAACAGGCUGCCCAAGGAGGCUGUGGAUGCCCCAUCCCUGGAGGCAUUCAAGGCCAGGCUGAAUGUGGCUCUGGGCAGCCUGGUCUAGCAGUUGGCAACCCUGCACAUAGCAGGGGGGUUGAAACUAGGUGAUCAUUGUGGUUCUUUUCAACCCAGGCCAUCCUGUGAUUCUAUGAUUCUAUUAUAUGAUUCUAUGACAGGUCAAAGCAGAUAUCCAUGCUUCCAUAGCAUCAUCCUGCCCAACACCAAAGUCGUCAGAGGCAGAAAUGGCCCUGUCCUAGUGCAGAUCACUGGGACCUACCUUGUUUAGCAGUUUUGCCCGGUCAUAUACGGAAAUACUUCAUUGAGGGAGGAGGAGGGGGAGAAAUGGGGAAAAAGAAAAAAAGACUGAGGAAGGGGAAGGCAGGCUGCAAGGAGCUCCCAAGGCUCUGAUGUCUUCCAACCAAACCCAGCGUGUUCACUGCCGCAGAGCUGCAGACAGGGAAGAUGCCAGCGGCUUGUCUCUUUCGUGCACUGAAGAAGGUGAUUCCCAGAGCCCUUGCUAUGAUCAGCUGUCAACUACUGACAUUUAAAAAUAUUUACUUUGUUCUUCUGACUCUCAAAGCCCCUUAAGGAAAGCAGGGUCUCAGAGCAGCAAUAAGUUAGUGUUGCAAUACCAUCAUUACACCACCUCCUACCCAGGAGUGAGAGGUCCCUGCUCUCUGGAUCUCUUUGAUCCAGAUAAACAUGAAUGUAAUAGAACCUGCUCGAAUAACCUAAUUGCUGUCUAGUUGUAAUAUGUGUGAAUUUAUGGCAAACUUCUCAGAGCCCAGCCUCCUCACAGUCCACCCUCCAGGCAUGCAUCCCACUUGGUAGUUGAAUGGUCACAGAAUAUAGGUGCUUCCCAUGGAUUUACGGCAGUCUUUGUGAGUGAUAUUAAAAUGGAAAGAGUUUAUGGAUAAGAGGUUUACCCUCAGCAAAGCCAACACCUCCCACUGCUGCUGCUUUUUCACACCAAGAGAUCAAGAGUUUAAAAACUGAUUUCAGACUCCCAAGUUGUUACUGCCACAGUGGUAUAGCAGAAGGAAGGGUCGUGGUCACAAAAGGUAUCUUUGUUUUCUAGAAUUUAAAAUCACUUCUCAUAUGCCACCAUUGCUGUAUUUACUUCCCAAGUGGUCUUGAUGAGUUCUCAUCCAGGUGCUGUGAAAUGCUGGUCUGCGCCCUCAAACACAAUGACAAACUCAACAGGCGUGUGUGCACAGUGAUGCUCCCAUGCCACACGGACAUAGAAUAGUCCAAAUUAUAGAUUACAUAUAGGCCAAGAGUGACACAAGACUCCAGCAAAAUUGUUCAGGCCACAGCUAACAGGGCAAGAUGGGGCAUAUUGGCCGAGGGAAAGCAGAUAGGUGGGCAGACCUGUACCUGGGCUCUCCUGGCAAUGCAGCUGGGGGGGAGCACAGCCUGUUCCAGAUGUGGACAGCGUGACAGGGAAUUUCUGGGUUUGCACCCUGAAUUCAGCUUGCUGAAUUCUGCCGAACUCUGUGCCCAGACCCCCAACUCCUUAGACUAAACAAUUAAUGAACACCAUUAAGCAGCUCUGUUUGUAAUCUGGAAACAGUUUACAAACGCAUUGUGGCGGAAGGGUGUCAUGCAGAAUUGUGGACUUAAUGUGUUUUGGCAUAUGCAUUAAAAUUUCCCUUCAUUCCUCUGGUUUGGCACAAGAUGAACUGCACAGAAUGGAAGUGUCUAGCUUUUUUGGUGUGUGUGGAAGCUCUCAGCACAUCCUCUGCUGGUGGCCAGCUCAAGCAGCAGCUGCUGUGGUAGGAACUAUGUCUGAGCCCUGUCCACCAGCUCGUGGUUGUCUCUUGCAAAAGGGAUCGCAGCCCACCAGCAGCCCAAGAGACAUCUGGGGAGAAGGAAGCAUCCUGUCCAAAGCAUCUGCCUGGUUGUGCCAGGUGUAGGAGCACCGCUGGCCUCCCCACUGCCAGGCGGGUGGUGAUCUUCCCCACAGCUUCUGCAGCACUUCCAGUACCAUGGAACUUCCCCAGGUGUGCUGUAUCACCCAGAUCCUGUGAGUCACUCUGAUGCCGCUUUAACACCUUCACUCCUUUGCACCAAAGUGUUCCAGAAAGCAGAGGGUCUUGCCAGUGAAUUUUAUCCAAGCGUGGCACAGAAAACACAAAAGCUGUAAUUAUGUUUUGUUUUGUUUUCAAACGAUGCUAUGUACUUCAUGUAGUAUUAUAGGAGAUGCAUCCUAACAUCUGCAAUUCUUUCUGCUGCACCCCCUCAUUUGCAGUCCUUCAGGAAAUCUCUGCAGGGCGCAGGAGCUCCUUGGAUCCUCAUCUGCAAGGGACACAUCUUCAGCUUAGGCAUGAGACAGGGGUGAGGGUGCAGCCCAAGACUGCAGAGGACUAUUUCAGGCAGUCAUACACCAGCCCCUGCCAACCUGCCUGGUGCUAUUUGCCUUGCAGGGGAGAUUAACCACCCUUAGAGUUCCUUUAAGCCCAGUGUUGCUCAGGUCUGAACUCCGCCUUCUCACAGCAAAUCCAUCUCUAAGAAAAACCUGGGGAUAUCUGCAGGACAGGGUCUUAAAACCAAACAUCCCCAAGCAGCAAUGAGCUUGUCUUGGAGGAGGGCUUUAGAUCAUAGCACAGCAACCUGCUUCUGGACCCACCCUGCUCCAGCAUGAUGCUAUGCCGUGCCAGUUUGCUACUGAACACUGAUAACUCUGCAGGUUUGGGCUGUUUCUACUGCAUUUAGAAGUUCAAAAUAAAACAAUAAUAAAAGAGAGGCGAGGAAACUAAACAUGUGAUCGUGCCUGAGCCCAAACAAUUAAAAAAACCAAAAAACCCAAAACCAAUCCCAAGCCUCUGUUUUGUUGCUGACUGAAUAAUCUAAUUUUGACCAGAUGCACAUUGCCUGUUUCUUCAGAGUGAACUGAAUUUUACAGAAAAAGCACCAUCAUUUCACAAUUUGCUGAUGCAGUACCUCGAGCUCAUGCCAGAGCACAGCUGGCUGACAGACAGAUUUUCUUGUUCAUGCAUCUUAUUGGUACAUUUUCUGUUACAUUUCUCUGCUGAGCCCUGCACAAGAGAACUUUCUACAGGGCAGCUGAGAAACUUUACAUGGAGACUGAAGAAGGCUUCUCUGCAUGCACAGAGCACAGAGCCUUCCUAGCGCUAUGCUACAUGCAUGCCUGGAUGCC